rnacentral:rRNA from 1 species
GACGAACGCUGGCGGCGUGCUUAACACAUGCAAGUGGUGCGACGAACCAGGCUUCGGCCUGGGGCCAAGCCGCGAACGGGUGAGUAACACGUGGGUAACCUGCCCCGAUGACUGGGACAACCCGAGGAAACUCGGGCUAAUACCGGAUGUCACCGUCGAGCUCAAGCUCGACGAGAAAAGGAAGCUUCGGCCUCCGCAUCGGGAUGGGCCCGCGGCCCAUUAGCUUGUUGGUGGGGUAAAGGCCUACCAA